CCAGGCCAGCAAUGUAUUCC
rnacentral:misc_RNA from 1 species